UGUAAGCGUAUACCAAAGUUGUUGCAGUUAAAACGCUCGUAGUCGGAAUUUGGCAGUUCCGGAUGUGUGCACGUCGUGUGCGCACUUCGCGGGGAUUGCUUUUGUGGUCUUGCGUAGGAUGAGGCACUUUUAUUAGUGAACGUCCUCACGCAACCACUGUUUACUGUGAGAAAAUCAGAGUGCUCAAAGCAGGCAUUUGCCGUGAAUGUAUUAGCAUGGAAUAAUAGAAUAGGACUUGGUUCUAUUUUGUUGGUUUGUUGGGACUGAGUAAUGAUUAAGAGGGACAGUUGGGGGCAUUUGUAUUUCGGUGCUAGAGGUGAAAUUCUUAGAUUACCGAAAGACAAACUGCUGCGAAAGCGUCUGCCAAGGAUGUUUUCAUUGA
rnacentral:rRNA from 1 species